AUUGAACGCUGGCGGCAUGCCUUACACAUGCAAGUCGAACGGUAACAAGUCUUCGGAUGCUGACGAGUGGCGAACGGGUGAGUAAUACAUCGGAACGUGCCUAGUAGUGGGGGAUAACUACUCGAAAGAGUGGCUAAUACCGCAUGAGAUCUACGGAUGAAAGCAGGGGAUCGCAAGACCUUGUGCUACUAGGUCGGCCGAUGGCAGAUUAGGUAGUUGGUGGGAUAAAAGCUUACCAAGCCGACGAUCUGUAGCUGGUCUGAGAGGACGAUCAGCCACUGGGACUGAGACACGGCCCAGACUCCUACGGGAGGCAGCAGUGGGGAAUUUUGGACGAUGGGCGCAAGCCUGAUCCAGCAAUGCCGCGUGCAGGAUGAAGGCCUUCGGGUUGUAAACUGCUUUUGUACGGAACGAAAAGCCCCGGGUUAAUACCCUGGGGUCAUGACGGUACCGUAAGAAUAAGCACCGGCUAACUACGUGCCAGCCGCCGCCGUAA
rnacentral:rRNA from 1 species